AACGAACGCUGGCGGCGUGCCUAAUACAUGCAAGUCGAGCGAGAAAGUCUCUUCGGAGAUGAGUAAAGCGGCGCACGGGUGAGUAACACGUGGGCAAUCUGCCCUCGAGUCUGGGAUAACCCGGGGAAACUCGGGCUAAUACCGGGUACGGCUGCGGGGUCUUCGGGCCCUGUGGAGAAAGAUGGCCUCUUCUUGAAAGCCAUCCCUCGAGGAUGAGCCCGCGUCCUAUUAGCUAGUUGGCGGGGUAACGGCUCACCAAGGCAAAGAUGGGUAGCUGGUCUGAGAGGAUGACCAGCCACACUGGAACUGAAACACGGUCCAGACUCCUAGGGGAGGCAGCAGUAGGGAAUUUUGGGCAAUGGGCGAAAGCCUGACCCAGCAACGCCGCGUGUGGGAUGAAGGCCCUCGGGUCGUAAACCACUGUCAGGAGGAAAGAAAAGUCGGCCGGAUAAUACUCGGUCGACCUGACGGUACCUCCAAAGGAAGCACCGGCUAACUCCGUGCCAGCCGCCGCCGUAACAC
rnacentral:rRNA from 1 species